rnacentral:rRNA from 1 species
AAUCUGGGGCCCUCGGCCUCCGAGUUGUAAUUUGGAGAGGCAUCCUUCUGGGGGGAGCGCCGGCCCAUGUUCCUUGGAACAGGACGUCACAGAGGGUGAGAAUCCCGUGUCAGGCAGGCUGCCUCCUCCCGUGUGAAGGGCCUUCGACGAGUCGAGUUGUUUGGGAAUGCAGCUCCAAGUGGGUGGUAAAUUUCAUCUAAAGCUAAAUACCGGCGGGAGACCGAUAGCGCACAAGUAGAGUGAUCGAAAGAUGAAAAGCACUUUGAAAAUAGAGUCAAAAAGUACGUGAAAUUGUUGAAAGGGAAGCGCUUGAGACCAGACUCAGGCCCGGGCAAACACCGCGCCCCUUGGGGCCGUGCAAUUGCCCGGGGCUGGGCCAGCAUCAGUUGGUGUGGCGGGACAAAGGCGCAGGCAAUGUGGCUCCCCUCGAGGAGUGUUAUUAGGCCCGCGCUCAAUGCCGCCGACGUCGACUGAGGACCGCGCCUCGGCUAGGAUGCUGGCUCAAUGGCCUUCAGCGACCCGUCUUGAAACACGGACCAAGGAGUCUAACAUCUAUGCGAGUGUUUGGGCGUCAAACCCUUGCGCGUAAUGAAAGUGAGCGGAGGUGGGAACCCCUCGCGGGGCGCACCAUCGACCGAUCCUGAUGUCUUCGGAUGGAUUUGAGUA